UCGAGAUCCUGGAAAGGAUUGGUCAGGUGGCUUACAGGUUAGCCUUGCCACCAUCGUUGUCUGGAGUUCAUGAUGUGUUUCAUGUCUCUAUGCUUCGGAAGUAUGUCUCAGAUGUGACUCAUGUUUUGAGGCAUGAAGAUUUGGAGUUACAGGCAGAUUUGGCUUAUGAUGAGAGACCAGUUCAGAUCUUGGACCGAAAAGAUAAGGUGUUGCGAAACAAAACAAUUCCUUUAGUUAAGGUGCUGUGGAGAAACAGUAAGGUCGAGGAGGCGACCUGGGAGCUUGAGACAGCUAUGCGGGAUCAGUAUCCGGAAUUGUUCAGGUAAAUUUCGAGGACGAAAUUCUUAUUAGGAGGGGAUAGUUGUAACGACCCAAAUUCACUAAUAAGGCUUAAGGGCCUUGAUUAGUAUGCCGGGAGGGCAUGAUGGGAAUUAUGUGUGAUUAUUAUGAUUAAGAUGUAUGAUUAUGAUUUUAAGCAUGUUAUAUGACUAUGUGAAUUAUAUUAUGUGAUAAUUAUGAUAUGUGAAUUGUACUGUGUGGGUGCUGUGAUACAAACGUGGUGCACGUGCCAAGGCGGUCCUAGGAAACUAGAUAAAGGUAACUGGUGACUUGGUAACCUGUGUAACCAUUAGUAACUAUAGAAAGUAACAGGUUUCUUUGGGAAAGUGGUAGAAUUGCAAAGUUAGGGAAAGGACAAAUAAGCCCUUGAGGUCUAGUUAGUAAGUGAUAUUAAUGGAGGGUUAAAAUGGUAAUUUGGUAGUAAAUAGAUGAGUUUGAGCUGAGGGAAUAACAUAUACGUAUAAUAUUUUGGAGAGGGGUUUAUGCUGAAUGGUGGAAACCUAGAAUUAGAACAAAAAGGAGAUAGAAAGGAGAAGCAGAAAUCUAGACUCUUGGAAGGAGAAUCAAGGGAUGUCUGAAGUUAUCAACCAAGUUUAGGCCAAGAAAACUCAGAGAAUUUGGAAACCAAGGGGGAAGAAGGUCAAGAGCUGGAGGUUGAACCUAUCACUUAAGGACUUUGGAGAAGCUCGGGAUAGAGGACCGUGCUUGUGGCUACGUGAUAUCGGAAACCAGCGAAUUGAAAGGUAAGGGUAAGGGCAAGCUGGACCAGGCCUGAGGUGGAGAGCUCCGAGGUGAAAUGUACAUAGCCAGCCGUUCGAUCACCACGGUCGAGGAGUGUGUCAGGACGGAGAUUACCUAACCACUCAUUUUGCCUUAGUAUGGCUGUUGAUGUAUAUAGACUUUGUAACUUUUGUAAAUGACUUUUAAACUGUCAUUUUUGGGAUCCCUUGUACAUAAACAAUGUUUAGUCAUGAAAAUGUAUCUUUU